GGCGAUGCAUCAGGCUGCCGCGCCGCGCCUUCGGGAGCGGUGAGGAAAGUCCGGGCUCCGCAGGGCAUGAUGCCGGGUAACACCCGGGCGGGAGCAUCGCUCCCGACAGCAAGCGCAACAGAAAGCAAACCGCCACGCCUGCAUGGUUGCAGGCCGGUAAGGGUGAAAAGGUAGGGUAAGAGCCUACCGCGGAACCGGCAACGGUUUCGGCGCGGCAAGCCUCAUCAGGAGCAAAGUCAAACAGCGGCGGAACGGCCCGUUUAUGCCGCGGGUAGACUGCGUUGAUCUGUUCCGUAAGGAGGGGGCCAGAUAGAUGGCAGCGUCGUUGAUUGCCGUAACCGGUACAUGAGACGACAUAUACAGAACCCGGCUUAUGGUUCAUCGCCUUUU
rnacentral:RNase_P_RNA from 1 species